AGGGUUUCCCCCAAAAGGAUUCACGGUCACAUGGCUGUGCCUCCUGCCACCUCACUGGAAGGUUCCCUGCCGUUGUCCUUCCCUCCUCUCUUCUGGGCCUGAGCCCCCUCCCUCCUGACCUGGAAGCCCCUCUUUCUCCUCUACCAUUUCCUGUUCCCUCUCUGAAGCACCGCCCACCAGCCCCUCCAGGUUCCCGCUGUGGAGUGAGGCCGCCCCAUCCACCCAGCCAAGCCUCGUCUGUCACCAGGGCAAACUGGUCCCACUGGGCAGGGACACGGACGUCCGGAAGCAGCUGUGUGCCCAGCCUGGGGCGCGCGUGAGACCCACACUGUGCAUACAGAGGCUGACACUGGACCAAAAACUCACUUCCAGCAAAGUUGCGAUCAGCCAGGGAAUGUGAACCGGGCACCCAUAACGUGCCAGGCGGAGAUGCAAGCUGUCCUGCCAACCACAGACGGCCGUGGCGAAACCCCAAACCUGCAUUCGGGGAAAGAUGUGGGGAUGCUAUCAACUACCCCGGCCUGCAAGUGCAGAAGUGUGUGAGAGCCUGACACGUGGCCCAAAUCCCAGCCGCUCCUCUCACUAGCUGGGGGAUCUUGGGUGUGUUACUGCUUCCAGCCUCACCUUCCCCAUCUGUAAACUGGGGGAAUAAGAACCCUUCCACCAGGGACGAGCUCCAUUUUGGAGAGCCAGGGGCCAUGUUGGGCAUCUGGACCAACGCCCCUCCUUCAAGAUCUGACAGCCCCUCCCACCGCCUCUCCGCCCUUUCUUCCUGUCAGUUCCUAGUUGCAGGGAGCAGGGAGUGUCUGCCAAGAGACCCAGCUGGUGACCCUGAGGAUGCUGCCCGAGGAUUCCUCCAUUAUUAACGAAUAUGCUCCCUCUCCCCAGCUCUUUUGCGCUUCUGUGUCAGGCUCAGAAAUGGCUUAAGGGGAGGGGCUGGCAUUCAACUCCGGGGUCUAGGCAACCAUGCCAGCCAUCUGGCCUCGCUGGAACUCAGUUUCCCCACUCCUGGAGGAGAGGAGACAGGCAGGGAGGAGAGACAGAGGGAGCAGGCAGUGCAAACCGAGGACCCGUUCUGGGUCAGGCACCGAGGCAAGUGCUGUGAAGGGUGGGAUCACCUCUGAGCCUAGGUCGCAGCUCACAAAAACCGAGUCCGCGGGAGUCAAUUUUGUUGAGCUUGUUAAAUGGCUGGUAACCCCGCCCCCAGGUCCCUUCCAUGCCCACCAGGCACUUCCCCUCUCAGGGCCUCCCUUUUCCAUCUGUGAAUUAAAGGAUAGACAAGGGCAACGAUGACCCGCAUUGGAGCGUCUGCCCAGCUGGCAGGGGCUGCUGUGGCCCCGUUGCACAGGUGGGAGACCGAGGCCGGCCAGGUGUGCAGGGACUUAUAGCUCUCGGGACCACACUGCCAGGACAAAGCCCAGGAGGGAUUAGAACUCAGCUCCGUCUCAUUCCACACCCGAGCUCUUAAACUCUCCCUUUGUGCGUGCCUGUAACUGAUUGCCCCACCAGUUGAUUAACUGAUUGAUUAACUGAUUGACUGAUUACCUGCCACGGCCCCUCCUCCCGACGGGCCUUCCAGGGAGCCCCCUCCGGCCCCCACUGCCCAGCUCACGUUCCUCCGACCACCCACCCCAGGUGCGCCCCCAACAAGCAGUGUGGAAGGGGGCGGGGCCGGGGCGGGACUCCCGCGGCUUCCCGCCCCGGCCCGCCAGCAGCCGGCUUCUUAGUCUGCAGCCCUUGUGGCUCUGCCUGUCGCCCGCCGGUUGUCGGGGAAACGACCUCUCCCCUCUGAACCUUCAAAGGGCUCCUCCCACUCCUGCGGGCGGGAGCUGGGGUCCUUGGAUAAGAGACUGGGGAGACAGAGACGGGGGAGGGACACCCAGAGAGGGAGAGACAGCGCAGCGAGAGGGAGAGACAGGGAGACAGAGACAGAGACGCACCCUGCCAGGGAGAGACACAGGCCGCAGAGAGAAUGGAGGUGGAGAAAAGAGACAGAGACAAGAAAACGCACCCCCGCCCCUACCACAGCAACAGAGGCAGAGCGAUGGAGAGAGACAGUCACAGCCGUGUACAGAGACAGGGAGAGAGAUCUUGGGAGACGCAGGGUCAGCAUAGAGAUGGGGGGUGGGGGGAGGUGGACGGGGCCCCCCAAAGAGAAAAGACUA